ensembl:lncRNA
GAGGAUAUGGAGCAGCAAACGGUGCGUCAGCAAGGAGGAAGGCCGCCAGGUUCAGAGCUUCAAACGGAGCCUCUUCCAGCAGGGAGCCGUGGGAGCGCCGCGCUGCUGCACACACACCGGCGUGCACACCUUGCACUGCUUGCACACGAAACCUCCUUGCACGCGUGCACCUCUGCACCCGCACCCGGAGCAGCUCUGCAUGUGCUCGCGCUCACACCCGCACACCGUUUGCAAACGCUCUCGCAAGCGCGUGCACGGAUGCACCUUUGCACGUGGAUGCGUGCGCUCGUGGGCACCCAUGCACGUUUGCACGUGGGCGUAUGUGUGCACACGUGCUCCAUGCACACACGCUCAUGCACAUGUGCUCCGUGCACACACGCUCCAUGCACACAUGCUCCAUGCACACACGCCCCAUGCACACGUGCUCCAUGCACACACGCUCCAUGCACACACGCUCCAUGCACACACGCCCCAUGCACACACGCUCCAUGCACACACGCUCCAGCCCCUCUUUGCACAACCACUCAGCGUGCCCUGCUGUGUUUGCUGCAGGUGCUGAGCGACAGCGAUACCCCCAAAGACGAUGGUGAUGAUGGUGAUGAUGGUGAUGAUGAUGAAGAGGAAGGCAGCUGCUCCGUGAGGCUCCGCAGAAGUAAGCCGUGGGGCUUUGCGCCCGUGCACACACAGGUUGAGGGGUUUGAUGCUGUAUGGGCUCGGAGGGCACUCGGACAGCAGCGGCUUCGUGGAGGAGCCCCUCCCUGAGCAGACAGAGUGAGCCCACCCGGGGGUCCCCCACCCGCACCCCCACCCCAACUGCUGCUCCAGCACCGGAACGCACCGACGGGUGCAGGAAAGAUUGCACCGCUGCACUUCAGGCAAUGGAGCCCAUCCUCAGCCCAGGGCUGAGCACCGCGUGGACACUGUGUGUGUGUGUGUGUGUGUGUGUGUGCAGCGUGCAAAUGUGUGCACGAGUGUGUUGGAUGCACCCAGAACUCAGGACUGGCACCCGCACCGCCCCCCCCCCCUCUCCCCCAGCCCCAUUUCUAUGGGGCUUCACUUGCACUUUGGAGUUGGCUGCCCCCCCCCGGCGCUCGGAACACUAUGAUGGGGGUUUGCUGGGGAACAGCCGACAGCACACUGGAAAUAAAGGUCCCAAUGGGGUCAGGCUGUGUCCCUGCACUGCUGGGGGGUCCCGGGGGGGUGGCUGAGGGCUGAGUGCGGCUCUCAGGGUGUGCAAAG